rnacentral:piRNA from 1 species
UCCCUGGAGAUGGUUCUGUAGGGUAAGA